rnacentral:rRNA from 1 species
AGCGAACGCUGGCGGCAGGCUUAACACAUGCAAGUCGAGCGGGCACUUUCGGGUGUCCGCGGCGGACGGGUGUGUAACGCGUGGGAACGUGCCCUCUGGUUCGGAAUAACUCAGGGAAACUUGAGCUAAUACCGGAUACGCCCUUUUGGGGAAAGGCUUGCUGCCGGAGGAUCGGCCCGCGUCUGAUUAGCUAGUUGGUGAGGUAACGGCUCACCAAGGCGACGAUCAGUAGCUGGUCUGAGAGGAUGAUCAGCCACACUGGGACUGAGACACGGCCCAGACUCCUACGGGAGGCAGCAGUGGGGAAUAUUGGACAAUGGGCGCAAGCCUGAUCCAGCCAUGCCGCGUGAGUGAUGAAGGCCUUAGGGUUGUAAAGCUCUUUUAUCCGGGACGAUAAUGACGGUACCGGAGGAAUAAGCCCCGGCUAACUUCGUG